GACGAACGCUGGCGGCGUGCUUAACACAUGCAAGUCGAACGGAAAGGCCCUGCUUUUGUGGGGUGCUCGAGUGGCGAACGGGUGAGCAACACGUGAGUAACCUGCCCUUGACUUUGGGAUAACUUCAGGAAACUGGGGCUAAUACCGGAUAGGAGCUCCUGCUGCAUGGUGGGGGUUGGAAAGUUUCGGCGGUUGGGGAUGGACUCGCGGCUUAUCAGCUUGUUGGGGGGGUAGUGGCUUACCAAGGCUUUGACGGGUAGCCGGCCUGAGAGGGUGACCGGCCACAUUGGGACUGAGAUACGGCCCAGACUCCUACGGGAGGCAGCAGUGGGGAAUAUUGCACAAUGGGCGGAAGCCUGAUGCAGAAACGCCGCGUGCGGGAUGACGGCCUUCGGGUUGUAAACCGCUUUCGCCUGUGACGAAGCGUGAGUGACGGUAAUGGGUAAAGAAGCACCGGCUAACUACGUG
rnacentral:rRNA from 1 species